UCUUCGAAGUUUUCCGAUUAAUGUUGGCUUUGGCGUUGGUGUUGGUGUUGGUGUACAGAGAUGUUGGAAGUUUUCUGAUUAAUUAGUCCCGUACGGUCCAAAAGUUAGCAAAGCCCUGUCAACUAGAAGAACUGAAGGUGUUACUGCCUUGUGGACGAACAACGUCAACCAACUUUUCUGAUCAUCAAAUGUUAAACAGCAAGAACAAUUGUAUUUGGACACUGGAAAAUAGACUUAUGAAAACACUGAACUCGACGAGUUCAUUAAAUCAAAUCUAUAAUUUUCCAAAACUGCUCCACCAUCCAUUUGUACCAUAUACUAAAGUUCAAUUUGCUUAUGAACAGUGUCUCCGAACGCGAAAUUACACAUUUGCCCUUUUUGUUAUGGAAAAUCACUUUGUUACGUUGUUACUAUUGAUACCCAAAAAAAACACAAACAUGUCAUACGCACACUUCAAGCACAAAUAAGACAAUAUCAUACAAACUACAGUCGAUAAUACAUAAUUUACAUAUAUAUUCGAAUCGUCAUGCCACGUUUGUGGACCCAAGCCACAAUCAUGCUCUUGGGGCUUGCAGAAGUGGGUGUGGUGUGGAAGGUUAUAGAAACACACAAUGCUCAUUUCUCGAUUUAGUGUCGUUAGUGAUUUCGAUUUUGGGCUCGAAAUCCAAGCCCAAUGACUUAAAUUAAGAAUGAAUGGUGAACAUGAGAAUUGGGCUAGCUAGCCUUUCAUUUGAAACCCAAUACCCAUAUAAGAAAGCCCAACUCCCUUUCAUCUCCUUCCUCGUUCAAAGCACGUCUUUUCUUCUCGCAACUACCUAAUAUUCAAUCUUCUCCCCGCAACAGUCUAUUACACAUAGAGUUAAUCCAAAAUCCUCUAGAAAUAUUUAUCCCUUCUGUUAGUUGAUGAGGAAGAAACGUUCGGACCAGUAGGAUAGUAUCCUUUAUAUUCUUCCUCAAAUGAUGAGCUUGCAAUCCUUCUACCUCGUUCUAGGUUUUGGGGUCACCGCAGCUAUCUUUGCUUGCAACCAUCGCUGCUUCCUGCUGCAGCAGCUUUCACAUCCUCCUAAAUCCAGAUCUUUCAAGUAAGCGUCUCUUUUCCUUGAUUUUAGGCAUGAAUUAUGUGAGAAUUGAAGAAGGAUUGAUUUAUCCAGAAACUUUGUGUUCCCAAUUGAGUCUAUAUAAAGGGAGAUUUAGGAUUGGAAUAGGCAUCCCAGCACAAUCCAAAGAAACCCAAAAACAAGCUUAGAAACAAUAGCAAUGAAGCCAAGCAUUCAUGCAUUUACCAGCUUCAACUCUCAGCCAUCCUCCUAGAAACUCUCAUUCAAACCAAUUUCCCAGAAAUCCCAAAUCCAGAAACCCAAUUCUCUCACACCACGCUUCAUGCUGUCAAGCCCAUUUGUUGUUUGAAUCACAUACAAGAUUUCUCUUUAAUCGGAUUAUUGGGUUAAUCUUGGCCUAGUCGCAAUUUAAUUCGAAAAAAGACCCUCACAGCUACUCACUUUUUAGUUGGAUGGUUUCGGUCACAACCCAGUAAAAGACCAUUUUGCCCUUCUCUCAUAUCUUCUUACAAUUUUGCCACUCAAUUUUCAGUUACUUUUCAUUAAAGUUACGAAAAAUACUAUUUUACCCUUCUCGGAUAGCCUAAUUACGGUUUUGCCAUGCCUCCACUCUAACCCCGUAGCAACGAGCGGGUCACUACCUAAUGAGGUAAUAGCCUCCAGUUUUUUACAAAACCUAUGAGAGCUCUCGCUCUCUCACUACGGCGGCGGCUAACCUUAGGGUUUCCCCGCCCAAACACCUUGACUGGCGACGUUCUUGUUUAUGGUUCUCAGCUGACCACUCUCUUGGCCUCGCGAAUCCCUCCAUGGCAAUCCCCAGGUUGCUACACCUCUUAAUUUCGAUGUUGGAUCUCUUCCCUGGCAUUCACUUCCAAUGUCAGGAAUGAUGAUGGACUGCGAUGCGUCUCUCUAGCGGAUCUGAAUCACUCUUGGGAUCCCGGGUUUAGCAUUGAGGCAAGAGAUCAAUCCUUCGUUGGUGGAGACCCGAUCUGUUGUUGGCCGGCGGCAUAGAUGUGUGGGUAUUGUCCCCAAAUUCAGAGGUGGCAGUCCACGACUGAGGAAGGUACAAGAAGCUCAGAUCUAUGGAGGUGAGCCACAACUUCCGUUUUACAUCAGAGGUUUUUUGGGUUGUACGACUUGAGGCAGCCGGGAUGAGACCUAGCUAGUGAUCAGUUGUGGAUGAGUUGUUUCCGGCAUGAGAAGGCGGCGCAAUGGCUAGUUUCAAGGGCAUGGCAGCGCUAGUUAUGGAGUUGUGAUCCAGGUCGAAUCUGGCUUCGGGUCUGGAGCAGGGUCUGGGUCUGGGAUCCAGGUGGGCCUUGCGGGCUUUGGUACUGGAAUCCAAUUUCUUUUUUCUCUUGGAAAUACUGCCAAUGUCUUUGGUUUUGGCCUUUACACUGGUAUUGCUAUUGGUUGACAGACCCACAACUAUGGUAUUUGUUCGUUAAAGAUCGGCUGCCAUCACGGCCAUAGGAAUCACCCUUGGUCAGCUUCAUUUCUUCAAGUGGCAGAUUACCCUUAGCCGGGUGCCGAAGUGAUUUUUAUCAUUUUGGGCAUUGGAUUUGAUGAGUAGUGAAAUCAUCGACUACUCAUUUCGCUCAACGGCUGCAAUUCGUGAGCGUAACACCGAGUCUAAACGUUAUUGUUUUAGCGCUGACACCGUUAUUGCAAUUUUACUUUCAAAUGCUUUUGUUUUCUCGAUAUAUCUUUACAUCAUCUCUAUGUAAUCUUUUGAUUAUAAUAAAGUGAUGACCUUUUCCAUUCAAAAAAAAAAAAACACACUGAACUCGACAGCAAACUCAUUUACUAUCAGAAUUGGGUAAAUGUGUAUCUAUAUUUAGGGAAAAGGCUUUGUUUGCUCAUUAAUUUGAAUAUGCUUUUGAUUCUUUAUACUUCACCGCGUGUAUCAUGUCCAUAUAUAAAUUUAACAAUCUCUAAUCCAAUCUUCUAAAUGCAUCCAGUGAUUAUGGUUUCAAACAGUUUGCAAUCUAAUUAAAACCUUGUAUGAGGUUGAAUCGGUUUGUAUAUGUUUGCUUUAUAAUAAGUUGCAAUUUUUUUGUCCUUUUUUUUAUUUUUUAUAUUUUUAUAGAGGGUUUGGAACGACCUAACAUAUCUGGAAGGCUCAGCCGUAAGAAGUUGCAAUUAUGUUCAUGGAGGAGUUAAUAAUCCAACUAAAAUUUUUUCUUUGCAACAAAAAAUAAAUAAAAUAAAAGGUAAUGCAUAUAUAGUUUAAGAUCGUUACCACAUGAUUAUUAUGAAAGUGAACAUUCAUGUAGCGAGAUACAGGUACAACAUGUGAUUACUGUACUUCUGUAGUUCUGUCUGACCACAAAUACAUCCUUAAUACAGGAAAAAUCAACACACACUAUUACUUCCAAUUAUUGCACAAAUUUACACUCCCUGCUUAAUUUGUCUAGUUCUUGUACACAAAUUGAAGGAAAUGUUUGUUUCAUGAACAUUUCAUAUGAAAGCGCUUAGGCCGCCCCCUUCUGCUAGAUCCAUUUUACUAUAACUGUGCCAUCUCGAUCAGUUCUAUAAGAUUGACUUUGACGUAGUACAAUUUGAUAGCUGAAUUAAUGGUGACUCAACCAUGCUAAUGCAGGUGCAAUCUGUUGAAAAAUUGGAGGCAGCAUUAAUCAAUGAAUCAAACAAACAAUGAGCUCUCUCUCUCUCUCUCAUAUUUUCUUUUUACUAGGUAGGGUUUUGGAUUAGAACUCAAAAUAAUGAGUAUUCAAGAGAUACGUACCCCAGUUUGAUUGCAUUUGCUGGAGCAUUAUUGUUCUGUGGCUGAUCAGUUUGAUUAUGUGGCUGGCUUAGCUGGACAUGGAUGGGUGCAUGCAACUGAAAUCCAUUAGUAAUGGCAAAUGGGGGUUCAGAGCCUCUGUGUUCUUCAUUCACAUCCCUUGUUCCAUAGGCCUACAAGUGAAAACUUUUUAGCUUUUACAAGAGAAGAAAAUCAAG
rnacentral:lncRNA from 1 species